AGAGUUUGAUCCUGGCUCAGAUUGAACGCUGGCGGCAUGCCUUACACAUGCAAGUCGAACGGCAGCGCGGGGCAACCUGGCGGCGAGUGGCGAACGGGUGAGUAACAUAUCGGAACAUACCCUAGAGUGGGGGAUAACGUAGCGAAAGUUACGCUAAUACCGCAUACGCACUAAGGUGGAAAGUGGGGGAUUCGCAAGAACCUCAUGCUCAUGGAGUGGCCGAUAUCUGAUUAGCUAGUUGGUGAGGUAAAGGCUCACCAAGGCGACGAUCAGUAGCUGGUUUGAGAGAACGACCAGCCACACUGGAACUGAGACACGGUCCAGACUCCUACGGGAGGCAGCAGUGGGGAAUUUUGGACAAUGGGGGCAACCCUGAUCCAGCAAUGCCGCGUGAGUGAAGAAGGCCUUCGGGUUGUAAAGCUCUUUUGUCAGGGAAGAAACGGUGAGUUCUAAUAAAGCUUGCUAAUGACGGUACCUGAAGAAUAAGCACCGGCUAACUACGUG
rnacentral:rRNA from 1 species